rnacentral:misc_RNA from 1 species
GAUGACAGACCCUUGGAAAAUAAAACAAAUAGAUAGACCCCCCCAUCCAUCUAGAUACCUCGACACCCCGUCACCCCACCGUCACCCCUUUCACAGUACCAGCAUAGUACUCACAUAGCACUACCACAUCUGUCAGCACACAUUCUCGCCAAGUACGCAUGCACAGCGACCGGGAUCGAUCCGAUUCGCUCCUCUUCCAGCCAGGCUCCACACGAUUCGUGUGCAUACAAAAAGCACCAGCACAGCCUCGUUCCUCGUGCAGUGAGUGGGUGUGGGUGUGUCCCCUCCCACCCUAGUUGCAUGGCACAGCAUACCAACAUGCCUUUGCACCACCACCUUGCAACACGAGAGAGACCAUACAGCAUAUAACACACAGCACAGCACAGCAUAACCUAACACACAACACAACACAAUACAGCACAGCAUAACACAACACAACAACCCAACACAACACAACUCGGACCCACUCCACACUGAUCCACACAGUACAUGCAUGAACGG